AUGGCGACGGCCAAGGCCGCCGGCGAGGAGCCGGCCCUCGGCAUCCCGUACAACCCGGCGCAGGCCCAGGGCAGCUACUACUACCCGCCGGACCCCUACGCGGCGGGGCGGGUGCCGCCGAACGCGAUCUACGCCGGCGCGCCCAAGGGGGUGCCGCUGCAGCACACCAUGUUCCGCGACACGCCCGCCCCCUUCCACUGCCAGUCCUGCGGCGACGCCGCCGUCACCUCCGUCCGGUCGAAGCCGAGCGUCGCAUCAGUUGUGGCUUGCAUGAUGCCAUUCUUUCUGGGCGUGUGCUUCUUGUGCCCCUCCAUGGACUGCCUCUGGCACAAACAGCACUACUGCCCCAGCUGUGGAGAAAUGGUGGCUGAGUUCAAGAAGGACGAUCCAUGCAUCGUCAUCGACCCAACCAGCUGGACCGAGCCGAGCUUUGCCGUGCCUGCUUAG
rnacentral:rRNA from 1 species